rnacentral:pre_miRNA from 14 species
GUCUAGGACCCCUGGGUGGUCGCGUAGAUCCCGGACGAGCCCCCAAAUGAAAGACCCCCGAAGGGAGCCCCCCACUCAAGUCUCGGGAAAGACGCGCACCCAGUAGGACACAGACACCG